UGCAACUAAGCUACAAAUGGGUUAAACCUCCUAGAGCCUGCCACAUAAUGGUAUUCUAUGUAGGAAUGAAUGAUGUCUCUGUCAAAUGGGACUCGGCAACCCCGCACCCAAGAAACAUUUUCCAAUGGUGCUUCCUUAGUGGGUUUGGCAUUCACAUAGAAUUCCCAAAGAAUGUCAAGGUUGACAAGUUCAUAAGGUAAUUCGAUAAUACCCAACCUCAUGUGUUU
rnacentral:lncRNA from 1 species